rnacentral:sRNA from 1 species
CGGCGUUAACCAACCCUUAAGCUUUCCGGUUUAUGAAUCAGACAUUCCAGACUUCUGGAUGUCGAGUGGCUCCUGUCCACUCUGUUUGACGCCUCCCUGUUGAGACUUCAGAGCCGCCUUUCCAGGCGGCUCUUUUUUG